rnacentral:rRNA from 1 species
GACGAACCGUCCAAACGUUAUUCGGAAUCACUGGGCUUACAGAGUUCGUAGGCGGUCUGGAAAGUUGGGUGUGAAAUCCCUCGGCUCAACCGAGGAACUGCGCUUGAAACUACCAGACUCGAGGGAGAUAGAGGAAAGCGGAACUGAUGGUGGAGCGGUGAAAUGCGUUGAUAUCAUCAGGAACACCGGUGGCGAAGGCGGGAUCCUGGGCCAGUACUGACGCUGAGGAGCGAAAGCGUGGGGAGCAAACAGG